GGAAAAACUCCCUUGACGGUACUUAAUGAAUAAGCCCUGGCUAAUUAUGUGCCAGCAGCCGCGGUAAUACAUAAGGGGCGAGCGUUAUCCGGAAUUAUUGGGCGUAAAGGGUGCGUAGGCGGUUUAAUAAGUCUAUAGUUUAAUUUCAGCGCUUAACGCUGUUGCGCUAUAGAAACUGUUUUACUAGAGUGAGUUAGAGGCAAGCGGAAUUCCAUGUGUAGCGGUAAAAUGCGUAAAUAUAUGGAGGAACACCAGAGGCGUAGGCGGCUUGCUGGGACUUUACUGACGCUGAGGCACGAAAGCGUGGGGAGCAAACAGGAUUAGAUACCCUGGUAGUCCACGCCGUAAACGAUGAGUACUAAGUGUCGGGUAAAACCGGUACUGAAGUUAACACAUUAAGUACUCCGCCUGAGUAGUACGUACGCAAGUAUGAAACUUAAAGGAAUUGACGGGACUCCGCACAAGCGGUGGAUCAUGUUGUUUAAUUCGAAGAUACACGAAAAACCUUACCAGGUCUUGACAUUUUCUUGCGAAGUUAUAGAAAUAUAAUGGAGGUUAUCAGGAAAACAGGUGGUGCAUGGUUGUCGUCAGCUCGUGUCGUGAGAUGUUAGGUUAAGUCCUAAAACGAGCGCAACCCUUGUCGUUAAUUGCCAGCAUGUAAUGAUGGGGACUUUAACGAGACUGCCAAUGAAAAAUUGGAGGAAGGUGGGGAUUACGUCAAAUCAUCAUGCCCCUUAUGAUCUGGGCUACAAACGUGAUACAAUGGUUGAUACAAAGAGUAGCUGAAACGCGAGUUCUUAGCCAAUCUCACAAAAUCAAUCUCAG
rnacentral:rRNA from 1 species